GCCCUAUCUCACAAUGAUAAAGAAUCCUUCAAAAAAUUCCUGGAUCCAGAAGGCGAUCCGGAUCACCACCAAAAUGUAAUGGGAUCCUCCUGGGGCUGAGACGCAUCUCUGGUGAAAAUUUCAGGUCAAUCCGUCUGUAACUUUCUCCGUAAAGUUGCUAACAAACAAACAAACCAACGCUACCGAAAACAUAACCUCCAUAACAGAAGACUUUUCUUCACUUCUGAGAGAACUUCCAUCGUGUAUUUGUCUAAUUCUUGUGAAAAUAUCUCUUGACUCUUACACAUCUUUGAAAGUGGCGGCUAAUUCAAAGUUUCUUGACAUAAAUUUUGACAUCUUAAGUCACAAAUCAGAUACGAUUUGAAUUUGAAUUGAUUGAUAGUCUGAAAAAGUGACUGAAGAUACAAAAUCCCAUGCCUAAGGGUGCAAGACCAUUUUUAGAGUUGCCAAAUAUCAUGAUCUUUACAGUUUUACAUCAUGGCUAUUUAAAUGGGAAGACUUCAGACUUUGUUUUCUGCUACAAAAAUAAGCACAAAGUUAAUUUCUGGGAUGUUUCUCAGUGAGAAGGUGCAUUUACCUAAGGUGAUCAUUCAGUACGGUGGCCCCAGAGGUCAGUUGCAUAAAUAUUUCAACCAAAAAAAUUUUGAUGAACCACAAAAUUAUUUCCCAUCUUUUUGCAGCAUGACAUAAUAAUACAGUUGACCUCCAUGGCCACUGUAGUUCACGCCUCUGUGGUCGACUCCAAACCUGCUGAAAAAGAAAACUGUAAAACUGUUUCAUAUUAUUGCAAAUUGAGAAAGUGAUUCACAGUAAAAGAAAAACAGCUAUGGUCUUCUUUUCUUUAUUGUCCACUAGAGAGCGCUCUACAUCCACUCUAAAACACAGGGCGGCCUCUGAAACCUUGAAAAGUUCAGUUGCUCCUGUUGGUGAACAAACUGAGUUCAUCACCUGCAGAUUGAUGUUUUCACACCCCCACUGAGCAUGUGCAGAACUAUCUGAAGCUUUUGUAUUUAUCUGUAUUUGUAUUGGCGUUUGUGCGACAGGCUUUAAACUUAGUUAAACGUGUUUGUGUGACAUAAGCUGGAGGAGUGAGUUUGAUAUUUUGGACGUUACAUGGUUAAUUGCUCCUGAUCCAAAUCUGGUUAGAAAGCUCUCAGAUUUUCUGUCUCCUUCAUCUGGAAAAAUCUGCAGUCUGGUGUCAGAUUGAAAAUCGCACAUCAACCUGAAUGACUUUAAAAUUUCGCUUUUAAAAUCUUUGAUUUAAUUCAGGCUUUGUGUGGGAUGUUUUUUCAAUCCUUGAAUGAGGUCAGUUUGAUUUUUAUAAAAACGUUGGACCUGGAAAAAUGAAGGUUAAAGAAAAAUAUGAGACAGAUUGAUGCACAGCACAUCUUUAUUUGGUCUGGAUUCAAUUUCUGACUUUAAUGCUCUUUUAAUUCUGUCAAAUACAAUUAAAAUUUCUUGUGAUUUUCGCUCUUUUUUACACGAUUCUGUUUUUAAGUUUCAAUAUGAGAUGUAAUCAGUUCAUUAAGCCUAUAUCCCUUUGAUUCUCCUCUUAUAAGCCCCCCCAACAAUCUUUUAAUGUGUUUAAAUAAUUUCACUCAUUUUAAUCUCACUGCCUCACAUCUUUUUUUUUCAUCACUUUUUAUUUCCAAUAAUGAUAUCUUAUUUUUCAAAACUCUUUUUUAUUGGCUUUUUUUCCUCUUUAUUUACUAUGAUUCAUGAUUUAACUCCAUUACUGCUAAAAUAAUCAUCUAUUUCAUGACUUUAUUUGCAUUUCUUUUCAUUGACUUCUGGUUUUGUUUGAACUUUCUCGUCUUUCCUCUGUCUCGCCUCACCUUUUUAAAUCAUGAGUCCCUGCCUUUAUUCCAUCAAUCAAAGCACUUAGUUAAUAUUUGUUUCUGGAGGUGCUAAAUGGAAAAAUGUAGAACUAUUUAUAAGCAAAGUAUUCAUAGCAUGAAGAUGCGUUGAGAUCAGUUGUAAUGUUAAUGUUCAGUUUUUAAUUUUUAAUGUGAUAUAGGAUCUUGGAAGUUUGCUGAAGACUUUGCCGGUUUUUUUUUCUCGCUACAAACAAGUCCAAUUUGAUUUUUAUUUCCUAAUACCUAAAAUUACACAUUAAUUUGGCUGAAUGUGGCUCGCAUGUUUUACAUCCUUUUGGACCUUCAGGGCCACCAUGUGCUGUAUAAAGAUAGGAACAGACUGUUACUUCGAAUGUGGAGCCUUGGAUUUGAAAAGCUUUAAAUAUCUCUGCUCUGACAAAUAUUCUCGGUUUAUUGACUCCAUACAAACCUGUUUGAGUUGCCUCUUAUCAGAGUGAUUUUGUCCAAGUAUUCUCUCGCUGAAAAAAAUCACAUAAUCUCAUUUAAUUUUUGGAUUACACACUCAAAUCCCAUCCUGAGUCUUCUGAAUUUGCUUUCUUUCUGUUUUGAGUCUUUCCAUUGUUGCACUUUGAGGAAAUUGCUGUAAAAAAAUGAGUCAUCUGCUGUUUAAAAAGAUUGAUAUCUGGUUUUUGUUAGAGUCAAGUGCACUGGGGGAAAUGUUGGGCUGAAUUGAUGUUGUUACCUGUUGAAUAUCAGCUGUAAUCUUCAGAGCAGAGACCUAACAGUGUGUGUGUUCUUCUGUAGAUGUUUGAAUACAGGAAAGAAACCUGUUGAGAGCCCAAACAAGCAGAUCUACUGUACGCUCAAAUCAAACACGGCAGUACAGAGAUGGUUUCAGAAAUAAAAGCUGCAGACAUAAGUGCGUGCGGUGUUCAGAAGCGCUUUCAGAGUGAGCACAGGACCGGUGGGAUAUGAGAGCCUUCCCAUGGACUGAAUUGCCUCAAAGUGCCAGGCUGCUAUCAAAGCGCAUUAAUGUGAUGGAUAUCCGGCGUUCUGCAUUCAUUCUCCAUGCAGUGAAUGUGGGAGCUGACAAACACAGCGCUGUAAGAGGGCCUGCAGCUCUGAGCAGCUCUCUACCUCUAAAGCAGAGACAAAUAUAGAUGCGGCUCAAGAGCGUUUUAUGUAAAACACAAACAGACGUUUUUCUUUUAACCCAAUUUCUGUGAUUUCCUCUGAGAGAGCAGCUCGGUGCUCUUCAGUCCAUGUGAUCGACAACAGGGGAGUGCUACUCGCCCUCAGGCAGGGAGGAAAGAGUUCAUUUAACUUUAUCUUAUUCAUUUAUUUUGUUGCUUUAUUUCCCGAUAAAAGAUGAUUUUUUCUUGCGAUCCCUGCUAGCUGAUUUUGCCAAAAAGAAAAAAAAAAAAGGAAAUUCUAAAAUCUACCUGGCACAUCUGGUGCAUCUUCAACUCUUUCUGUUCUGUAGGAGGUCUCAGAGUGUCUUUUACCGCCAAAUGAACAUCUGCAAAUUCAGUUAUUUAUACCAGAAAACGUUGGAUUGGAUCAGAUUAGUUAAGCUGCAAAAGAAACAUGUGGCUCAACUGUAAAAAGAAAUCCGACCACAAACCAAAACAAGUGCUUCGUAAAAUCGAACAAGACUGGACAACGCUCUUUAACAUGUACAACAAUUAAACAUCAUAGAUUUGAUUUAGAAAUAACCCGAAUUCAAAUGUUUCUUAAAAAACAAAGCAAAGUGGGGAAAUAUGAAGACCAAGUUGGAAUGAGGUGGAAGUUUUAGAAACAAAAAUAGGCAGAAAUGCAUUACAGUAGAAGAUAAGACAUGUUAGAGACACUUCCACUAACUGGAGAGGUUUGCAUGAGGUGAAAUGAAGCGGUAAUCGAUACUGGCGCAGAAAAAGAUGCAGGGUUAGAAAUCUGAAUGCAGCUCCGUGACAUUUUUAUCACUGAAGGUCCACAUAAUUCAACCCCGUUCCUCCAGUUAAUGAGAGAAAACCUGUAAAUUAGCAUGAACUUCAAACUCCUUUCUGCUUCUCACCCUUCUAGAAAACCACUUUCCAUGAAUUUUCCAGACUUUACCUGAAGCAUUCUCUCAUUGGUCAUGGUGUUUUUGUGCAGAAAAUCAUCUUCCAUGAAUUUUCCAGACUUUACCUGAAGCAUUCUUGCAUGGGUCAUGGUGGUUUUGUGCAGAAAACCACUUUCCAUGAAUUUUCCAGACUUUACCUGAAGCAUUCUUGCAUGGGUCAUGGUGGUUUUGUGCAGAAAACCACUUUUCCAUGAAUUUUUCAGACUUUACCUGAUACAUUCUCGCAUUGGUCAUGGUGCUUUUUGUGCAGAAAAUCACCUUCCAUGAAUUUUCCAGACUUUACCUGAAGAAUUCUCACAUUGGUCAUUGUGUUUUUGUGCAGAAAACCACUUUCCAUGAAUUUUCCAGACUUUACCUGAAGCAUUCUUGCAUUGGUCAUGGUGAUUUUGUGCAGAAAAUUACCAAAAAGCUGGCUGGAAAAAGUGCAGGUCCACAUUUAGUUUAUUUGUGCAGCUCAUUCCAAAAACUUUAAAGUGAGGAAACUCCCCAUCUUGUUUACGCUCUUCCAAACACACCUGAUACUGAAAAAAAUUAGCUGUCACAUUUGAUGCUUCAGUCGAUUUCAAUCUCUGUUUUCAGCUUUUUCCAAAAUCUAUAAACGCAGCUCUUAACAUGGACCGAGAGCUUGAUAAGUGAGGGGUUAAAGGAGGUCUGGGCUCUGCAGGGCUUGGGUUAACUGCAGUGUCAAAGUGCCUUUUUGUCGUCUGAGGGGGUGGAAGGCAGCUGUUCCAAAGGGAUGCUUCAAAUCAGUGUUUUUAGGGAGGAAAAGUUGUUUUUGUAACCGAAGCUUUUAAGGCUCCGUCACCCUGAAAAAACAGACAUGUGGUUGUAUAUGUUGCUGUUGUGCGAUCAAAAUGCAUUCUGGGACUUAAAGCAGGCGCUAACCACAACAGAAAAGCCUCUCCAGCCAUGUAUCAUAGCUGUCUCACAACAAGCCUCGCCUCAAAAUAAUUUCUUAAUCCAUUAAUUGGCGUGGAGCGGCGUGCGGGGCAGGGCUUUUUGUUCAGUAUGUUUUUCAGAGAUGCAUACUAAUCAUAUAAAGUGAUCCUUUGUACUCAGGUUGACAGCAGCGACGAGGGCUUUUAGACGACACACACACACACACACACACAUACAUAUACACUCACACACAUGCAUAGAGGCAUGUGUCUGGGAGCGCCGCUGGCAGAACGAGUGUAUUAUUUUCCCUGAAGAGUGUUAUUUUCCUGUCAAGGCUUGAUGGCAACGUGCCAACAGAUGUGACAGCGAGCGAUCAUCCCUCCUUCAUACAGUACAGGGAGAGAGAGGGAGAGAGAGAGGGGAGGGACAGAUGAGGACGGAGACACUCUCUUAGUAUCCAUCCCUGCUUUUUCAUGCAAAUCGAUCGUAUAUUGAAUCUAAAAAUAUGAUAAAAUGUUUUUGGUGAAAAUUUCAAAGUUUUUCCAAAAGUCUGAAGUUUGAUGAAACAAAUUCAGGCGUCAUGUAUAAAUCUAUUACUUCAUGCACAUUAAGAUCGAAUAGUCGUGGUAAUUUUAGCCAGUAAGAUGUUUUAAAUAGAAAACAUCAUGUUAUGCAGGCCUUCAUAUCAUAUUCCACCAACUUAUUAAUUGGACUGUCUCUCUGUCAAACUAUCCGAGUGAUCCGUCUCAGUGCAUUAGGUGUGUUGGUCUUUGCUUUGAUAUCAUAUUUGUCUACUAAGGUGUGCAGCAGGGCUCUGUAUUAGGUCCGCUUUUGUUUACUAUUUAUGCAAAUUAACUGGGACGAAAUGUAUUAGAUGUAAGAUAUCUUCUCUGAACUCUUGCAGGAUGUGUUUGAUAUUCAGAUUUAACUACUGAAAAACUGCAAACCGAAUACUGCAUUUACUCCUAUUUUAGUGACCCUUCACUGGCUCCCAAUCCGCUUCCACAUUGAUUUUAAAAUUCUUUUAAUCGGUUUUAAAGCCCUCCCUGGUCUUGCCUCUCCUUACCUGUCCGAGCUCCUGUAUCACCACUCUGGCCAGCUACUGUUGAGCUCAAGUCUAGAGGUCACAGGGCCUUUCCAGCGGUCGCCCCAAGACUGUGGAACAGUUAACCUGCUGCCAUAUUAAAGCCCCUCAGACCUUAGGGUCUUUUAAAGCAUCUUUAAAGACCCACAUUUUCUCCCCUGCUUUUAAUAAAUGAGCACACAGGAAUCAGAGACACUGUAGCGUUUAUUCUUUUACUGUCUGUAUUUUAUUCUAUUGUUUUUAAUUUUAUUACCUUCGCCGCCAAGGAGGUUAUGUUUUCGGUAGCGCUGGUUUGUUUGUUUGUUUGUCUGUGAGCAACUUUAUGGAGAAAGCAACAGACGGAUUGACCUGAAAUUUUCACCAGAGGUGCGUCUCAGCCCCAGGAGGAUCCCAUUACAUUUUGGUGGUGAUCCAGACAAAAUUCUGGAUACUGUGAUCCAGAACACACAAAAAUAAGGGUGUGGUUGGAAUUUUCAAUGCUGAAAGAUAACCAAUGGGCGGCACAGUGGUGUAGUGGUUAGCACUGUCACCUCACAGCAAGAAGGUCCUGGGUUUGAAUCCGGGUCAGGGCAUUUCUUGUUUUAGGAACAUUAUGAACAGUGAACAUACCAGUUUAAACACAAAUAAAAGUUAAUAAAAGACACGUAACAGUAAAAGUUUUGGUGUGAAUCACAAUAUAAGGGGGGACAUGAGCUGCUUGGUGGAGGUCUGCGCUCUCCGAGUGAUUUUCUAGUUUUUAUUGAUAUCUAUUUAUUUACUUCUUUUAUUUAUCCCAUGUACAGCACUUUGUUUGACUGCUGUCUUUUUAAGGUCCUUUAUAAAUAAAUUUUGACUUGACUUUACUGUUGUAAAUGCAGAGAAAACCUGGCUCAUGUUGUUUUCAAAGGCAUGUUAUAAAAUGUGCCUGUGGUCAUCACUGCUACUGGAGGAGAACUAGAGGUUGUAAACACUUAAAUAUACCUGGCAUUGUGAAAGAGGACUUAAAUGAGGUGCAAAUUGAAACAAGUUGUGUUCUCAUUGUUGCUCUGUUAUUUUUCAACGUACUGGAUUAUGGUGAUCUCUGGGAUACAGCUUACAAUGCAUCCCUAGUUACCGUUUCUUAUGUGCCACUCUUGGCAGAGUGAGUUAGGAUAUGCCAUGUUUCAUUGCUCAGGAAGUGAACCCCUGAAAAUGGUCUAGUGUCUUAUUGCAGGCAGUGGACGCUUUAUGCACAGGGGUCAGUUUGCUUCAUGCUUUACUGAAGUUUUCUUCUGCACGGGUCAUUGCAAAAGUAAGAACUCGCAGCUAUUAAGUUGCUGCAUGAGUCAUGUGCGGAAAAUUUUGCAUUGCUUUAUGUGGAGUAUUCAUAUCUAAAAAAAAUAUUGAUGUCCGAAAAAAACGCUCUCUGUGUGUAAGGACCUUAAAUCUGUAUUCCUCUCUGAGUGAUCCGAUCUCCUGAGCCAGCACACAGCGCUGCACAGAUCAGCGCUGCUAUUCAGAGCUACCUGAUAAAUAACAGCCUCUGCAGAUCAGAUGAUAGUGUGUGUGUAAUGGCACUGUUCUCUUUUGUAAAGUCUGAAAGUAAACUGAUUCUCUCUGUUAUCUCUCUCUCUUUACCUCCGUCUCUCCCUCUGUGCAUCUUCAUUUACUUCUCCUCUGACUGAAAAACAAAGAAAAAGCAAAACAAAGCAGCAGAAGACAAAAGGGAGAGAAAGAGGAGCGUGUCAUUACGGGUUUUGUUUCUACAACGGCACAAUACCCUGACCACCCUCAAACGAUGGAGAGAGAGAGAUCCUCUGCAUGCAGUCGAGUCGCAGAGAGAGAGAGAGGGAGAGAGAGCGAGAGAGAGAGAGAGAGAGAGAGAGAAAAGGGAAAGGCAGUUUAAUUUAGAUAAUUAUCUCACAAAUUAACCACAAACUCCUUCCCUCUUAAUUACCUGUCUUAGGGAGCGGUGCAGGAAAACAAAAAGCCGAGCCGUGGAGGUCUUUGUUCAGGUCUUCUUGGGGGGUGUAAAUUGGUGGCUCCCCUGCUGAAAGGCCAGAUAAACCUUGGAGGGGACGACCAUUAAAGCAUUUGAUAGGCUAAUGGGGAAUACUGUUAGCAUCCGCGUUUGUAAUUGGACGUCAUAAAUCUGGAACAGGUGAUGGGGGAACAAAAGAGGGGUUUUGUGUGGGUGUCGAGGCCACGGCAUGACUUGUAAAUCCUUUCCCGGUUGAAUGGUGCUAUCUGAUGGUCCACGGAUCUCCAGCAUUGAUUCCUGUGAGUGUGUGGAGCAUUUAUACGUCCUCAGAAACACAAGCAAAUGUUCGUAUGAUCGGGGCUAAUAAAAGGCGCCGGUCUUAUCUGGCUGUCUGCUGGAGUUGAUUCUGUCAGUAGCGAUUAACCUUUCCCUGACUGUGAUGGCUCACCUGAUCAGUUUCAACUCUUGAAACAACUGGAAACCAAAGAUACAGAAGCUUUAAGCUGUUUGACACAAGGUGACAUUUGCACUUACAUUGAUGUGCAAGAAAAUGUAAUGGGGUUGAAUCGUUGACUUGCUGUGACUCUCCUUUGUAACUGAAACAAUCCUGUGUUCAAAACUCAGAACUAAGUAUUUUCAGUUUUUUUCAUUUCUGUCCUGAUUUCGAGAUUGUGUCACUUUGACUACAAGUCGUAGCCUCAGCUUGCUUCUGGUCAUCAUUUUGGACAACAGCAGUACAAACUAUCAGGCAGGAGGAGAGAGGAAAGCAGGGAGAGGAGCAGGAGGAGGCAGGUGUGUGUAUGUGUGUGUCUGAAAAGUCAAGGGACAGAAUGAGCUCAGCGAGAGAGGGGCUGUUGUGACCGUGAGUUCAAAUCAGCUUCUGGUUUAAAAAUAAGGAGAUAUGAUUAGAUAUAGGGCCGGGCGAUAUGGGAAAAAGUUCAUCAAGUUAUAUUUUUUUCAUAUCAGUCAUUUCAUAUCAGUCAUUUCAUAUCGAUACAUAUCACGAUUUAAGUAAAAAUCACAUAUCAAUCUUAAAUUUUCCUUGUUACUCUUAAAUGAAAUUUCACAAUGUUUAUUGGUAGCUUGUCUUUUGCAAUACGAUAAGCUACUGCAUCUUUGAGGUCUUUGUGUCUCUUCGAUGUUUUGUCGUGAGACAUUGCGCUAGAGAAAGCGGACUGAAUGAUCAGCUGUUUUGGCUGCACAGGCGCCAUGGGGGUUUGUAACCUUUUGCAUUGUGCAUGCUCUGCCACACUGCUUCAGGUGGUGAAAAAGAUCUGAGGUUUUCCCCGACUUUGUGAGAACAUGUACUCGACAUAAUUUACAGUGCUCAUUACUCUGCAUCAUGUCCAACCUCAAAAAACCAAAGUACCUCCACACCACCGACGUUUUCAUGCCAGUGUUGUCGAUGAUGUCGUCAUCUCUUGAGCCUUCAUCUGCAUUUCUGUCGGGGGUAGCACUCAUUUCCUUGUUUCUCACUAACAGUGUUGUCGGCUUCACAUGCUAUAGUUGCGUAUAUCUGCAAUUUGCUACUACGCAGUUGUUUGCUACUUGGUUCAAAUUCAGCACAUGAUUGGUUCAGUGUGAAGCGGACCUGGAGCAACUCCCCUUUUCAUUGGCUAUUCGUAUAGUCUACCAAAGCAGAAUGCAGACAAUUGAAAAGGAUAUUGACCAUGUUUUAUAUCAAUAUUGAGGGAAAUUAAUUUUCAAUACUGUUAUCAUUUUAUUGCCCAGCCCUAAUUAGACAUAAAUUAUCAUUCAUAACUCUUAAAGCCCAAGUCUUGAAGCUUUGAAGGAGGUUCUAUCAAAAGACGCACCUCUGGUGAAAAUUUCAGGUCAAUCCAUCUGUAACUUUCUCCGUAAAGUUGUUCACAGACAAACAAACAAACAAACAAACAAACCAACGCUACCAAAAACAUAACCUCCUUGGCGGAGG